GUGUUCGCUUCGUCAGCAAAAGUACUACAAUUGAAACAAUAUAGAGAUUAGCACAGCCCCUUGUGUGAGGAUGACAAUCAGAUUAUCUUAAAUAGAAAACAGGACAU
ensembl:snRNA U6 U6 spliceosomal RNA